AGAUUUACAUAAUUCAACAAGUAGUACAAGUAUUAGGAAAAUUAAUUUUCCGGCAAGUCGAGGGGCAGCACAGGUAGCAAUACCGGGUGGCGACCGGCGCACGGGUGAGUAACGCGUAUGCAACUUGCCUAUCAGAGGGGGAUAACCCGGCGAAAGUCGGACUAAUACCGCAUGAAGCAGGGGCCCCGCAUGGGGAUAUUUGCUAAAGAUUCAUCGCUGAUAGAUAGGCAUGCGUUCCAUUAGGCAGUUGGCGGGGUAACGGCCCACCAAACCGACGAUGGAUAGGGGUUCUGAGAGGAAGGUCCCCCACAUUGGUACUGAGACACGGACCAAACUCCUACGGGAGGCAGCAGUGAGGAAUAUUGGUCAAUGGCCGAGAGGCUGAACCAGCCAAGUCGCGUGAAGGAAGAAGGAUCUAUGGUUUGUAAACUUCUUUUAUAGGGGAAUAAAGUGGAGGACGUGUCCUUUUUUGUAUGUACCCUAUGAAUAAGCAUCGGCUAACUCCGUGCCAGCAGCCGCGGUAAUACGGAGGAUGCGAGCGUUAUCCGGAUUUAUUGGGUUUAAAGGGUGCGUAGGUGGUGAUUUAAGUCAGCGGUGAAAGUUUGUGGCUCAACCAUAAAAUUGCCGUUGAAACUGGGUUACUUGAGUGUGUUUGAGGUAGGCGGAAUGCGUGGUGUAGCGGUGAAAUGCAUAGAUAUCACGCAGAACUCCGAUUGCGAAGGCAGCUUACUAAACCAUAACUGACACUGAAGCACGAAAGCGUGGGGAUCAAACAGGAUUAGAUACCCUGGUAGUCCACGCAGUAAACGAUGAUUACUAGGAGUUUGCGAUACAAUGUAAGCUCUACAGCGAAAGCGUUAAGUAAUCCACCUGGGGAGUACGCCGGCAACGGUGAAACUCAAAGGAAUUGACGGGGGCCCG
rnacentral:rRNA from 1 species